UUAAAUUGUGUUGGAUGUUGUUUAGACUUAAAAAAAAUGAACAAUUGUCCGCAAGUUCGAAGUUCGGACAAGGAGUAUUAGCCCGCUUAGUGGCGUAAGUGCCACCGUGUUGCUCAAUGGCAGCAAUUACGUUAAGACACAUGAACUCUUAGAUAAAUUCAAUAAUAAACGAAGUGAAUUGAAAUAUCUUAGUAACUUCAGGAAAAUAAAUCAAACGAGAUUCUAUGAUUAGUGUGAAUGAAAGUAGAAAAGCCUAGAAUAGAUUUCAUUUAUAGAUAAGUACUAAAUGAAAGAUAAUUUAAAUAAGUAAAACGGGCAAAACCUGUUUGAAUAUAAAGGGGAACCUUCCUCUAAGGCUAAAUAUAAUAUAUAAGCGAGAGCGCAGAGUACUGUGAAGGAAAGGUUUGAAAUAGUGGUCUUACAAGCAGCUCGAGUAAAGUUUAAAUAAAAAGUAAGAGCGUACCUUUUGCAUAAUGGGUCAGCGAGUUAAUAUUAGAUGCGAGCAGUAAUGCCUAGAUAAACCAAUUUUGAAAGAAUGAAUUAGUAUCUAAAAUUAGACCCGAAGCCUGGUGAUCUUACUACAGUCAGGGUUAUAAAAGCCCGAACGGUUUAUCGUUGUAAAGAUAUCCGAAGAACUGUGGUAAGUUAGUGAAAGACAACACUGACUAGGAUAGCUGGUUUUCUGCGAAACCUAUAUAAGUAGGUAAUUCAAGGCACAUCAUAGCAGGUACAGAACUGUGAUCUCAGGCAACUUAUAUUUUAUUAUAUUAUAGGUUAUUCCCGUUAAGCUAUAAUAUUUAAGGUAAUUUUGCAUAUAUCGGGCAAUCGUGAAGAUUUUAUCGGUGAGUAUUCGCACUCGGAAGGGCAAUGGUGAAUAUUGAAUAAUCGGACAUAGUACGAUAAGGUUGUAUGUCUAAAGGGAAACAGCCCAGAACAAGAGUUAAGGUUCCAAAAUUAUUGUUAAGUGAAAUUAAGGAAGUUUCUAUCUAAUACGACUAGGAAAUAGGCUUAGAAGCGGUCCAUUUUUUGAAGAUCUCGUAACAGAGCACUGGUUUAAUAAAUAACGCAUGUUUGCUUUAAUUUAUAUUGAUAGUUGCACCGAAAAUUCAACGGAUCUAAACAAUAUACCGACACCUUGUCCAUAUUUAUUAAUAAUUUAUUAUUAUAUUUAAUGGGGUAGCAGAACGUUGGGGAAAUAUAGCAUAGCACAUCAGUUUUAUUCUUUUUAAGAAUAAAGUGUUAUUUAGAUUAGUCAUAAAUUAACCGAGUUUUAGACAACUAAAUAGAAUAUAACCCAAGUGAGAAUGCUGACAUGAGUAACGAAAAAGGGGAAACCCUCGCCUAAAGCUUAUGGUUUUAAUAAAGUAACGGCCUCUAAGUUUACCGACCUAAAGGAUUAAACGAUGAGCAAAUCAAAGUCUGAGUAGUAACAACCUACUUUUAGUGAAGUAGGUUCUGGAAAAACCUCUGACUCGGCUAUUUUACGUACAUGAAAAUGUUAAUGAAACAGAUAACGAAAAUAGUGAAAAAAAAAUAGAGGUAACAUUACAUUAUCCAUAAACUCAAACAGAUGAGUUAAACCUUUAAAGAAUUAAGUACAUAUAUUUAUAUAACCUUAGCAAUAAACUAAAACAGAUGAGCAAUGGGCAAUAUAUGUACGUUUUUUAUUUUUUUUUCAAAAGUUAAAACCGUACCUAAAAACUACCCCAAGUAAGCUAGUAGAGAAUACGAAGGCGUUUGAGUGAACAAUCAUUAAGGAACUCGGCAAACUAACUACCGUAACUUCGGGAUAAGGAGAGCCAUUCCUCCUAAUUAAUAUUAGGUAAAGAAUAGGAAGCAUGGAAUAGUGUUGUGCGACUGUUUAAUUAAAACAAAGCACUCUGCAGUAAGAUAAUAAAUCAAAGUAUUGAGUGUGAUUUCUGCCCGAUGUCGGCUGGUUAACGGAUUUGCUAAGUUGACUAAUAUAAGCUUGGCUUUGAAGGAAACCCCGAUCAAUGGCGGCCUUACCUAUAAGGGUCCUAAGGUAGCGGAAUACCCUGGCCGUUAAAUGCGGUCUUGCAUGAAUGAUUUAACGAUGCAACAGCUGUCUCAAUGAUUGGCUCAGUGAAAUUGGAAUAACUGUGCAGAUACAGUUUACCUCUAGUUAGACGAGAAGACCCUAUGCAGCUUUACUGUUGCUAGUUAUUGAAUAUGAUACUGGUAAUUUUAGUUAUAAGGUAGUGUUCGCUCAAUUGAAACACCUUUAUUUAGCUUAUCAUAUUGGUAGAUUUUCUACGUGAAACUCUCAAGGCACUCUUGCUUAGGCAAGAUGGUUGAGACAAUCAUUAACCUUCAAAAAAGGAACAAUUGCUAGGAGGCAGUUUAUGCGGGGCACAGAUCCCAUAAAAAGUACCUGGGUGUAUCCAAAGUUAAUUUUGUAAAAUUGUCAUAAUUAAGUUAUGACAAUCAAAUAUACUUUUUUGGUAUAUUUUUUUUAUUUUUAGUAUGUUAUUUGGUAUAGCUUAAGCUAUAACUAAUCCAGCUAUAUAUCUAUUGAGUUAGAACUAAUAUAUUUUUUUAUCUAAGUAAGAUUUUCUCUAUAUGGAAAAUAGAUGUAAUUAAAACAUUGCUAAAUGGAUUGACUACAAUGUUUUUUGUUUUAUUAUUAGUAUUCUUAAUUUAUAAUAAUUAAGUCAGUGUUUUAUAAUCUGCUUCGAUGAUUUAUGUCGACACCCACUAAUAAUAUAAUUAUGUUUAUUACUUGUCAAGUUUAAUGGCUUAAUCUUGCUUUACUGUCUGACUUACACGUCUAUCAGUCGCGUAAGCGGGGCAUAUGAUCACAAGAUGCAGAAAGGAAAGGUCUUGGAUUUUUGAAAAAGCUACGCUAGGGAUAACAGGCUAAUUGCGCCAGGAAGUACAAAUUGAGUGCGCAGUUUGGCACCUCGAUGUCGGCUUAACUUAUCCACAUGAAUGC
rnacentral:rRNA from 1 species